rnacentral:rRNA from 1 species
GACGAACGCUGGCGGCGUGCUUAACACAUGCGAGUCGAACGGAAAGGCCCUGCUUUUGUGGGGUGCUCGAGUGGCGAACGGGUGAGUAACACGUGAGUAACCUGCCCUUGACUUUGGGAUAACUUCAGGAAACUGGGGCUAAUACCGGAUAGGAGCUCCUGCUGCAUGGUGGGGGUUGGAAAGUUUCGGCGGUUGGGGAUGGACUCGCGGCUUAUCAGCUUGUUGGUGGGGUAGUGGCUUACCAAGGCUUUGACGGGUAGCCGGCCUGAGAGGGUGACCGGACGACGGGGUACGGCGAGACGGCGCCGGCGCGGGAGGGAGGCGGGGGAGGGGAAGAGGGGAGACGGGGGGGAGGCCCGCAGGAGACAGGGCGGGGGCGGGAGGGGGGACGGUGGUUGGGAGUCCGCUGGCGCAGGGGAGGGGGGGUGAGGGACUGGUGUGAGAAGAGAAGCAAGGGCUAAAGGCGCGCCAGGAGCCGGGGCAAUAGGCGGAAGAACACACGCCUGAAC